GAACCUACGGACUUCAGUGGGGGUUUCAUUCCGUCUGCGCACGGCACCUUCUCAACGAUAAUCAAUGAUCUUCCUCCCACUCAGGGUGAAAAUGGUAGGUCUUAGCUCGUUUCCCCUCAGCCAUGCCAACGUUUAGGAGUGUGUAACUACUGUUGACGGCUUUCAACUGCUGUUGACAGCGCAUGCGCUACCGCGCGUAUAUGUGCCGCGCAAAUUUUAUUUUAUUCAAAAAAUUAAUUAAAUUAUUAUUAUUAUAUAUUUUUUUUUUCACCCCUCGUGAUCGACUUGGGAUCUGUCGGCGAUCGACUGGUAGAUCGCGAUCGACUGGUUGGGCACCCCUGGUCUAGAGUAUACAGUCUACAGUAUAACAAAUUAACAUGGCCUGGGACCUAAAGAAAAACAGGCACAACAUGCUCAAACAACGCGUCUUGUGUACAUUGGUGAGGUGAGCGCGCAGCUGCCUGAGCGAGCGUGCUUUCAUGUUGUAUGGUAAAAUUCAAUCUCCUCUUUUUUACUCCAGCUAAAGUUGUUAGUUAGCAAGGCGAGUAGGAGCGCAAUCUGCAGGAUACUAAUCGCAAUAACA